GAUGAACGCUGGCGGCGUGCCUAACACAUGCAAGUCGAACGUGAAAAUCUGGAUGAUUACUUCGGUUUGAAUCCGGGUUGGAAAGUGGCGAACGGGUGAGUAACACGUGGGUAAUCUGCCUCGAAGUGGGGGAUAACUAUUGGAAACGAUAGCUAAUACCGCAUAGUCUUUUCUUUAUGGGAAUAGAGAUGAGUAAAGCUCCGGCGCUUCGAGAGGAGCCUGCGUCCAAUUAGCUAGUUGGUGGGGUAAAAGCCUACCAAGGCGACGAUUGGUAGCUGGUCUGAGAGGACGAUCAGUCACACGGGAACUGAGACACGGUCCCGACUCCUACGGGGGGCAGCAGUGAGGAAUAUUGCACAAU
rnacentral:rRNA from 1 species